AAAAAAGAAAAAACAUUAAAAAACACCAUAAACUAUACAUGGAUGGCUUGCUUGAACGUGCAUUGGCUUUUGGUGUUUCUUUCUUUCCUCA
rnacentral:ribozyme from 1 species